rnacentral:rRNA from 1 species
AGUGAACGCUGGCGGUAGGCCUAACACAUGCGAGUCGAACGGCAGCACAGUAAGAGCUUGCUCUUACGGGUGGCGAGUGGCGGACGGGUGAGGAAUACAUCGGAAUCUACUUUUUCGCGGGGGAUAACGUAGGGAAACUUACGCUAAUACCGCAUACGACCUACGGGUGAAAGCAGGGGAUCUUCGGACCUUGCGCGAUUGAAUGAGCCGAUGUCGGAUUAGCUAGUUGGCGGGGUAAAGGCCCACCAAGGCGACGAUCCGUAGCUGGUCUGAGAGGAUGAUUAGCCACACUGGAACUGAGACACGGUCCAGACUCCUACGGGAGGCAGCAGUGGGGAAUAUUGGACAAUGGGCGCAAGCCUGAUCCAGCCAUACCGCGUGGGUGAAGAAGGCCUUCGGGUUGUAAAGCCCUUUUGUUGGGAAAGAAAAGCAGCAGGUUAAUACCCCGCUGUUCUGACGGUACCCAAAGAAUAAGCACCGGCUAACUUCGUG